rnacentral:rRNA from 1 species
GGGGCGCAGCUGAUCCAGCCAUGCCGCGUGAUUGAUGAAGGCCUUAGGGUUGUAAAGAUCUUUCAGAUGGGAAGAUAAUGACGGUACCAUCAGAAGAAGCUCCGGCUAACUCCGUGCCAGCAGCCGCGGUAAUACGGAGGGAGCUAGCGUUGUUCGGAAUUACUGGGCGUAAAGCGUACGUAGGCGGACUAUUAAGUCAGAGGUGAAAUCCCAGGGCUCAACCCUGGAACUGCCUUUGAUACUGGUAGUCUAGAGGUCGAGAGAGGUGAGUGGAAUUCCGAGUGUAGAGGUGAAAUUCGUAGAUAUUCGGAGGAACACCAGUGGCGAAGGCGGCUCACUGGCUCGAUACUGACGCUGAGGUACGAAAGUGUGGGUAGCAAACAGGAUUAGAUACCCUGGUAGUCCACACCGUAAACGAUGAAUGCUAGUCGUCAGGGGACUUGUCCUUUGGUGACGCAGCUAACGCAUUAAGCAUUCCGCCUGGGGAGUACGGUCGCAAGAUUAAAACUCAAGAAAAUUUGACGG